CAGGCCAGUUCGUCUGAUUGAAUUCAGCAAUUACUUGACCUACUUAAAGAAAGAUUCCAAUCUGCUUUUCUCUGCAGAAUAUGAGGAAAUGGAAUUUCGCAGUCCUAACCACUCCACAAACGCAGCAAACCUACAAGAGAACAGGUCGAAGAACAGAUUGCCUAACAUCGUUCCAUAUGACCAUUCUCGGGUUAAACUGAGCAUAAUCAGUGAGGAUAAUAAAGGAGACUACAUCAACGCGAACUUUUUGCCGG